rnacentral:misc_RNA from 1 species
GCUUCGCNNGGGAUUCGGCUCUGGCCAAGGCAGGAACACCCAUGCUGCAGAGAAGCCUGAGAAGCCACUGAAACCUGGUGCAGGCAGGACCACCCCUUCGCUCCGUUGUCAAGGUCCAGAUGUCCCUGGUGUCCAACAGGGCUUGACUACAGCAGGCACUUAAUAUGUGCUAACUCCGUGCAUCCCCCCUCCUUUUUCCUAAGUGGAUUAUGAAUUUUCAUCUGGGAUUUCAGCAGGCAUUGCGUCCUGUGUGCAGCAGGCUGCUCGCUCCUGGACACCGCAGGAAGUUUUCAAAGGAACCCCCUGGAANANNUUNUCNNNGAACC